UAUUAUAACUUAUUUGAUUAAUUAAAUUCUUUUGUGUAUACCAACCAGAUGAAGUCGGGCGAUAAUAUUCCUUCAUAGUUGAGAUAUUAAUAUUUUUCUCAUUUUAUUGUUAUAAUAA